UACAGAGGGUGCGAGCGUUGUUCGGAAUUAUUGGGCGUAAAGCGCAUGUAGGCGGUCUGUUAAGUCGCGUGUGAAAGCUCCAGGCUCAACCUGGAAAGUGCGCGCGAAACUGGCGGACUUGAGUGCCGGAGAGGGUGGCGGAAUUCCCGGUGUAGAGGUGAAAUUCGUAGAUAUCGGGAGGAACACCAGAGGCGAAGGCGCCCACCUGGACGGACACUGACGCUGAGACGCGAAAGCGUGGGGAGCAAACAGG
rnacentral:rRNA from 1 species